rnacentral:rRNA from 1 species
GAUGAACGCUGGCGGCGUGCCUAAUACAUGCAAGUCGAGCGAACAGACGAGGAGCUUGCUCCUCUGACGUUAGCGGCGGACGGGUGAGUAACACGUGGAUAACCUACCUAUAAGACUGGGAUAACUUCGGGAAACCGGAGCUAAUACCGGAUAAUAUAUUGAACCGCAUGGUUCAAUAGUGAAAGACGGUUUUGCUGUCACUUAUAGAUGGAUCCGCGCCGCAUUAGCUAGUUGGUAAGGUAACGGCUUACCAAGGCAACGAUGCGUAGCCGACCUGAGAGGGUGAUCGGCCACACGGGAACUGAGACACGGUCCAGACUCCUACGGGAGGCAGCAGUAGGGAAUCUUCCGCAAUGGGCGAAAGCCUGACGGAGCAACGCCGCGUGAGUGAUGAAGGUCUUCGGAUCGUAAAGCUCUGUUAUUAGGGAAGAACAAAUGUGUAAGUAACUAUGCACGUCUUGACGGUACCUAAUCAGAAAGCCACGGCUAACUACGUG